CCACCCGCAACGCGGGGUUUAAGUAGAUCCUUAGCAUUAAUUCUUAUGCGGGAUUGAUUAAAAUAUUAAUAUAAAAAAAUCAUAAGUUAAGAAAGAGUCCUUAACUAAGGAGAUUAAGGAUUUGGUCCUUGAUGAGUUGGCAAAGUCCGAUUGGUGAGGGUCAGGGUCGUGUUUUGUAAGGAGAAAAAAAAAAGAAGUCGCGACAAUUACAUAAAAAAAAUUCCUCCGACGAAACAAAAGCAUGGUCUCAGCCUCAGGUGGUGGGUUGGCGUACGCUUUUGUGAGCAAAGGCUUGAAAGUAAGGCCUGCACACGCACUCUCCUGGGCUGUUUGCUACGCUGUUGCGUCAGGAACAAUGUAUAAGGUGAAGGAAACAAUCAGAGCAAGAAGUAAACAUUCCACCAGCACCAGGGGCAAGGCUUUUGAUACUUGAUCAUAUCAAGAGGUUUGUUUACAAGCUUCUCUACUAGUACUCUCUCACAUGGAUCAAAUAUAUGAUAAACCGCAAGUAAGGAAAGCAGUAAUUUGACACCAACCCUCCCUUUUAUCUUAUAUGGUGGUUGUAAUAACUUGGAGAUAUAGUUUCGAGAGACGUAACCUUGCUAGUUCAUUCGCUGAAACUUUAUGUUUGCUUUUAAGUAAAACCAACAAUGUAACAGAAACUAUUUUUUACA